rnacentral:rRNA from 1 species
UAAAUACUAAUACCAGAUCGAUAGUGUACAAGUACCGUGAGGGAAAGGUGAAAAGAACUGAGGUGAUCAGAGUGAAAUAGAACCUGAAACCAUUUGCUUACAAUCAUUCAGAGCCCUAUGUAGCAAUACAGGGUGAUGGACUGCCUUUUGCAUAAUGAGCCUGCGAGUUGUGGUGUCUGGCAAGGUUAAGCAAACGCGAAGCCGUAGCGAAAGCGAGUCUGAAUAGGGCGCUUAGUCAGAUGCUGCAGACCCGAAACGAAGUGAUCUAUCCAUGAGCAAGUUGAAGCUAGUGUAAGAACUAGUGGAGGACUGAACCCAUAGGCGUUGAAAAGCCCCGGGAUGACUUGUGGAUAGGGGUGAAAGGCCAAUCAAACUUCGUGAUAGCUGGUUCUCUCCGAAAUAUAUUUAGGUAUAGCGUUGUGUCGUAAUAUAAGGGGGUAGAGCACUGAAUGGGCUAGGGCAUACACCAAUGUACCAAACCCUAUCAAACUCCGAAUACCUUAUAUGUAAUCACAGCAGUCAGGCGGCGAGUGAUAAAAUCCGUCGUCAAGAGGGAAACAACCCAGACUACCAGCUAAGGUCCCUAAAUCUUACUUAAGUGGAAAACGAUGUGAAGUUACUUAAACAACCAGGAGGUUGGCUUAGAAGCAGCCAUCCUUUAAAGAAAGCGUAAUAGCUCACUGGUCUAGUGAUUUUGCGCGGAAAAUAUAACGGGGCUAAAGUAAGUACCGAAGCUGUAGACUUGCACACAA